rnacentral:lncRNA from 1 species
ACAAGUUCCUUAGCCAACUCUCACAUUCAUUCACACACACACACACAAGUUGAAUUCUUGCAAAUGGAUAUUUGAUCUCGAUCAUUUGGUUUGGUGAGAAAGAGUGGUCUAGUGUGAAGAAAAGUGGGUUUCAAUUGCAUCAUUUAUAGUGGCUCACACUCAAGAAUAUGAGCAAGAUCAUUAUGCAAAAUUUAUCUAAGAAAAGGAGCAAUUCAUGCAUACAAUGCUUGUUCUCAUCAUUCUACCAUUUUCUUAAGUAGCUUUAAGUUCUACCAUUCCUUUCUUUUUUUCCUUUGAUUUAACUAACUAGAGACUUGUUCUUUUAUAUUUAAACUUUUAGACUUAGCUCUCUUCUUUUCUUUUCCCCCACUCAACUAUUGUUUCUUUGAUUCCCUUUUUUUUUUUUAUAUUUGGGAGGGGGUUCUAUUGAUACUUUAGAGCUUUUCCUUUCUAACUUUCUUUGUCCCUAGGGGUUUCUUACCUUAAACACUCUUUUUGGUUCAUCUCUUUCGCUCAAUCUCUCU